rnacentral:snRNA from 1 species
AUACUUACCUGGCAGGGGAGACACCAUGAUCACGAAGGUGGUUUUCCCAGGGCGAGGCUUAUCCAUUGCACUCCGGAUGUGCUGACCCCUGCGAUUUCCCCAAAUGUGGGAAACUCGAUUGCAUAAUUUGUGGUAGUGGGGGACUGCGUUCGCGCUUUCCCCUG